rnacentral:rRNA from 1 species
CGCGAUUGGAUGAACCUAGGUGGGAUUAGCUAGUAGGUGAGGUAAUGGCUCACCUAGGCGACGAUCCCUAGCUGUUCUGAGAGGAUGAUCAGCCACACUGGGACUGAGACACGGCCCAGGCUCCUACGGGAGGCAGCAGUGGGGAAUAUUGCACAAUGGGCGCAAGCCUGAUGCAGCCAUGCCGCGUGUGUGAAGAAGGCCUUCGGGUUGUAAAGCACUUUCAGCGAGGAGGAAAGGUUAACGAUUAAUACCCGUUAGCUGUGACGUUACUCGCAGAAGAAGCACCGGCUAACUUCGUGCCAGCAGCCGCGGUAAUACGAGGGGUGCAAGCGUUAAUCGGAAUUACUGGGCGUAAAGCGUACGCAGGCGGUUGAUUAAGCGAGAUGUGAAAGCCCCGGGCUUAACCUGGGAACUGCAUUUCGAACUGGUCAACUAGAGUCUUGUAGAGGGGGGUAGAAUUUCAGGUGUAGCGGUGAAAUGCGUAGAGAUCUGAAGGAAUACCGGUGGCGAAGGCGGCCCCCUGGACAAAGACUGACGCUCAGGUACGAAAGCGUGGGGAGCAAACAGGAUUAGAUACCCUGGUAGUCCACGCCGUAAACGAUGUCUACUCGGAGUUUGGUGCCUU